ACUUAUAGACUUGUGAUGAUAGGAUCUAAAAGUAUAAUAACAAAAAAGUUGGGCCAAUUCAAUAUGAUCACUCUACUAACAUCAUACUCUAGAUUUCGUUUGGCAUCUUUUUUACAGUUCAGCAAAUGCCCAUUAAUAGGAAUACAUGAUCAUCAGACAACACUUGAGCUAGUCCUAAAGGCUAGACUAGGUAUCAAGUUUUACUGUUUAUCAUUCUACACGUGCUUAUGAGUUUUCUCCUAGAUCACAUAUUCAAGAACCAUAGCAGUUAUAGCAUAAAAUUAUCUUUUAAUUAUAAUCGUGGAAAUAAAUAAUACAAUUAUUAUUGCCUCCAGGGCGUAUUUUCAACAAUUGUGUCUACCUCGCUGAGAAUCUUAUCUCUUGCUCAUCGAAACGCCAACACCCAAUUUCUCGAUCGAGUGCUGAAACUGAGUACCAAGAUGUCAUCAAUGCUGUUGCUGAAGCUAGUUGGCUUCGUAAACUCAU
rnacentral:lncRNA from 1 species